rnacentral:misc_RNA from 1 species
GGAAAAUAUCGUUUUCGCGCGCGCGCUCCACCGGAUUUUGAACAUUCAGAACAUAUGCAAUCGCCGGAAGUUUGCGCGAUGGUAACCGACGCAAAUAGGUUGACGCCGGCGGAGGAAGAAAUUACGAACACGGCGACAUCAGUACAGGCAGUGGAAGAGUUAUUGAAAUAUCGAUUUCAGAACACGAAGCUUCUAGAAGAAGCUCUUACUCACUCUUCCUGUCCUAAUUUAAUUACUAAUUACCAGCGGUUAGCGUUCGUCGGUGACGCUGCUCUUGGCUUAGCUAUUUCCAGUUAUUUCUUCGUUACUUACCCUGAUGUUGACUGUGGUAGGCUUACUGACCUUCGUUCUGCCAAUUUAAGUACGGAAAAGCUUGCUAGAGUUGCAGUCGGGCACGGCCUUUAGAAGUACCUCCGCCGCAAUUCAUCAAUCCUCGAUGAAAAGGUGAAGGAAUUCGUGAUAGCAGUAGAACAGGAGGAGGAGGCGGAGGUACACGGAGGAGUAAUGAAGGCCCCGAAGGUACUGGCUGAUAUUGUGGAGUCAGUGGUGGCAGCUGUAUAUGUGGAUAUGCACUUUGAUCUGAAGCUUCUCUGGAAGAAAAUUAAUCGCCUCCUCGAGCCGAUUAUCACACUGGACUUGCUUGCACAACAACCACAGCCUGUAACUAUGCUGUAUGAGCUUUGCCAGAAGGACGGGAAACAUGUUGAUAUAAAGCAUUGGAGAAAAGAAGAGAAAGACAUAGCUAGUGUUUAUGUUGAUGGUCAAUUUGUUGUUUCCGCUACUUCUGAGAACAAGGAAAAUGCUAAACUUCACGCUGCAAAGUCUGCAAUCACAAAGUUGGCCUGUAAUCAUACUAGUAAGCUGGAUCUUGAAGUCGAACCAAACACUGAGUUUGGAGGAGCAAAGCAGAAGCUGAAUGAGCUAUGUGGAAGAAAGAAAUGGCCCGCUCCAACUUACAGAAUUGAGAAACAGGUAGGCCCUUCUCAUGAUAGGAGGUUUAUUUGUUCAGUGCAAGUUGCAGUAGCUAAAGGCGUGGUUUUUGUGAUGGGAGAUGAGAAGACGCGUGUAAAAGAUGCAGAGAAUUCUGCUGCAUCAGCCAUGAUUUGGGGUCUGCAAGGUUCCAAUCUCAGUUAGACGCAUAUUAUGGAUUGUACUUAUUUAAUAAUUGCGUAUUUGAGCUAGGGAAUGGUGUAUAAUAUGUCUUGUUAGUGGUUUGUAUGAUUUGAAAUUCAUGACAGUGAUGAAAUAUUAUUGUAGUUCUCAUCAUAUCAGGAAAGACAGAUUGUCAUAGCUGUAGUGAUAAAUUGAUGCAUAAGGGAUGACACCUUUAAAUUAUGUAAAAGAUGUUU